AAUCAACGCUGGCGGCGUGCCUCAGACAUGCAAGUCGAACGCGAAAGCCCCCUUCGGGGGGCAAGUAGAGUGGCGCACGGGUGAGUAACACGUAGGUAAUCUACCUUUGGAUGGGGAAUAACAACCGGAAACGGUUGCUAAUACCGCAUAAUGCAGCGGCACCUAAUGGUGACAGUUGUUAAAGCGGGGGAUCGAAAGACCUCGCGUCUGAAGAGGAGCCUGCGGCGGAUUAGCUAGNGGUAAGGUAACGGCUUACCAAGGCGACGAUCCGUAGUCGGCCUGAGAGGGCGGUCGGCCACACUGACACUGACACACGGGUCAGACUCCUACGGGAGGCAGCAGUCGGGAAUUUUGGGCAAUGGGCGAAAGCCUGACCCAGCAACGCCGCGUGAAGGAUGAAAUCCCUCGGGAUGUAAACUUCGCAAGAACGGGAAGAAUAAGUAGGGACAAUACCCCCUAUGAUGACGGUACCGUUUGUAAGC
rnacentral:rRNA from 1 species